GUGCGUCAGUGCGGGGGGAACCGCAUUCCAGAGUGGGCGGCAUCCUGGAAUGCGAUCCCCCCGGUAACAAGAAUUC
rnacentral:pre_miRNA from 1 species